UACAGGGGGGGCAAGCGUUGUUCGGAAUUACUGGGCGUAAAGGGCUCGUAGGCGGCCAACUAAGUCACACGUGAAAUCCCCAGGCUUAACCUGGGAACUGCGUGUGAUACUGGAUGGCUUGAAUUCGGGAGAGGGAUGCAGAAUUCCAGGUGUAGCAGUGAAAUGCGUAGAUAUCUGGAGGAAUACCGGUGGCGAAGGCGGCAUCCUGGACCGACAUUGACGCUGAGGAGCGAAAGCUAGGGGAGCAAACGGG
rnacentral:rRNA from 1 species